CUAAUCAAUGCGCACCUAAAUUAUUGGUCACCAUAACUGGAUUAUCGCGCCCAGCCCCAUGCUACAAAAGGUGAGACAGGUGCCUGGCUCGGUCUCUCUUACAGACCACCUCAUUGAAGGGGGUGAAUACUUGUCCACACAGACUCAAGACUGGAAUUGCUGCCAAAAGUGCAUCUACAAAAUACUAACUUGAAGGGGGUCACAGUUCAUCUUCUCCGCCCCAGCAAAAUAAGAACACAAGAUACAAGGGAAGGGGUCUGAAGAAUGCCCGAUCUGUAUGCUAGAGCACAUGCAGAUGCUGCCUGCUGGACUGAAUGCUCCGCUUUUGUUUGAGGUUCCCAGCACAUGCAGCUUUUUGGAUUAACUUCAGAGUUGGCAAAGCCUCACAUUGAACAGCUUCCAGUAGCAAAUUGGUUACCCUGGUACGAGAUAAUGGAUCGUCCAUCCCAAUGAGCCAGCGCCACCCAAUUACACCCAUGUGAGCAAUUACCCUGUUUUGGAACGUGGGAGGAAAUCAGAGCACCAGGAGGAAACCUAUCCAUUCAAGGCAAGAACGUGCACACCCCUUACAGCUAAUGGUGGGAAUUGAACCCAGGUUGCUGGUGCUGUAAUAGUGUUGCUCUACCGUGCUGCCCUCUGGCCACUGUGCUCUGUAUGUGCCACUCACUCAACUCAACUCUGUCACUUCGCAUCUUCUUCAGAGUGUCAUAAGGUUUCAAUUGCUCUGUCCCAGUGAUGAAGCCGGUUUCAGUUUUGGAAAAAUAGCCUUCCCAUCGCUAAUGAGACAUCUUCCCUCCUUUCACAUAGUAUCCAUUGCUAGGCUUGAAUAGCAAAGCGAUUUAGCAACAGUUUCUACUGUACAUCCAUGUAAGCCAUUCUAGAUGCUUUCCUAGAUGCAUUCGUUCACUUGCAGCCUAUAUCCAGUGGGGAUUUUCAUGCUCAGGAUGAAAAACAGCAGAGGUUCUACAUUUGGGAGCAUAUCAAAUCUAGAGAUUCCCAAUCCUUUUGCCGUGUUUCUUUUUAUUAUUUAUUUACAGGAUGUGGGUGUCACCAGCUAAGCCAGCAUUUAUUAUCCAUCCCUAGUUGCCCUUGAGUUGCACUUGAAAGAGCAUUUAUUCAGCCUUCUAACUAUGCAACCAAACCCAUCCCCCCUACCAUUAUAAAUCCCCACCCACCACGUUUUCAGCUUCAAUUGAAAUAACAUCUAUGCAAUAUUACAAUGCCCCAUAGUUUUCCCAACUGAAAAACUCUAAAAAAUUGCAUUAGAAGGAAAGAUUUGCAUGUUAUUUUAUGAACAUAUUCUACUUGGAACAAAUGUUUCAUGCACAUUUGAGGUGCUUGUACCAUUCAUAAUGGAGGCCCCACCAUUAGGACAUUGGACUGGGUACUUGCUGCUUUGUUGGUGUCAUUCCCCACUGCAUUGUACACACAUGAUGAUGUGAUCUAUGUGCGUGGAGCACGUUGCUAACAUACCGCCAGAACCUGGAUCGAGUGUCAGGACCUGCAUCUUCCAUUGUUCGUUCACAGAGAAAAUCAAACAGGAGGUUAUGAGCAAGGGUGGGACUUCUGCAUUAUUUUCACUGACUUGUUUAUUUUGACUUACAAAUUCUGCUCAUUCACAAAUAAGUUGUACUGAGAUAGAUUACUGUGCACUAGGCGCUGUGAUCUGUGAACCCAAGGAACAUCAUGACUGAAGUCCAGUCACCAGAUUAGUAUGUUCCACAGUAAGGAUGAUCUCCUAAUUUAUCUCUGCACUAGUUAAUGCUUUCCUGCAUCCAAUCUGCCUCCCUGAAUUCCCACUCACUCCCUCUCCUUCUUUCUCUCCUUAUUUUUACCUUUUCCCUCUUUGGUUUUCCAUAAACUCCUUGACAGGAUGUGAGGUUACUAUGAAGGGAACUUGAACAUCUUGAUCUACUCCCUAGUGAAUAAUGCAAAAAUAAAGAUGGCGUCUUCAAGAUCAGACAGUAGCUGCCUUUUCUAAACCGACAAGUCCAUCUUUGUUGGAUUAGUUUUAAUUGUUAUUUUUGUUGUAGUUUAACUUUCUUGAUGCUUGCUUACAAGUUUAUACAGUCACAUGUUCGUCUGUAAUUGUUCAAGUGAAUUUUCGGGAAUUGUAUCUUUUCUGGUAGCUUCUCUGCAGCCUGUGUCAAGACGUAGAACUUGACUGUCUCAAAGAUUGCUCCUUAUCACUGGAAUGUCUCUUAUCUGUCUAACUAGUAUAAGGUGACCAUGUCUUUUCCUUUGUCUUUUUUCCCCUCGUCCUUCUUCUUGCUUUGUUCUCUCGCUUCAACUUCUCUUCUGCUGUGGAAUUGGUUAUUGUUGUGUCU